AAACUGUUUGAACUCGGGCAAGUGCUCUGGGGGCGAUUGCUUAUUAAUGACUGCAGCAAGUGGUAAACAAAGGAUAGCUGGAGGCUUGUUACUUCAUCGAGACCUGUAUUCGUUUCCCGUGGCUGCCAUAAAAAUUGCCAACGAACUUGGGGCUUAAAACACUAGAAAUGUGAACGGUGUGGACAUGAAGCUGCCCGUGGUGCUGGCCAACGCCAGAUCCCGUGCCUCCCAGCAUGGUUCAGAUGUUGUGAUUGAGACUGACUUUGGCCUGCGUGUGGCCUACGACCUUCUGUAUAUGUGCGGGUCACCGUCCCGGAAACUAACUACCAGCAGAUGUGUGGCCUGUGUGGGAACUACAAACGGCAACCCAAGGAUGACUUCCAGAAGCCCAAUGGCUCCCAGGCAAGGCAACGCCAAUGAGUUUGGCAACUCCUGGGAGGAGGUGGUGCCCGACUCUCCCUGCCUGCCGCCGCCCACCUGCCCGCCGGG
rnacentral:sRNA from 1 species